rnacentral:rRNA from 1 species
GAGCGAGAAAAGGGGGGCAACUCCCUGAGUAAAGCGGCGCACGGGUGAGUAACACGUGGGUAAUCUGCCCUGGAGUGGGGAAUAACACCGGGAAACCGGUGCUAAUACCGCAUACGAUAGCGGGAUCUGCGGAUUUCGUUAUGAAAGGAGCAAUUCGCUCUAGGAGGAGCCCGCGGCUGAUUAGCUAGUUGGUGAGGUAAUGGCUCACCAAGGCUACGAUCAGUAUCCGGUCUGAGAGGACGGUCGGACACACUGGAACUGAGACACGGUCCAGACUCCUACGGGAGGCAGCAGUGGGGAAUUUUUGGCAAUGGGGGCAACCCUGACCAAGCAACGCCGCGUGGGUGAUGAAGUCUCUUGGGAUGUAAAACCCUUUCGACGGGGAAGAAACCGCAAGGUUGACGGUACCCGUAGAAGAAGCCCCGGCUAACUCCGUG